CUACAAACCCGAACCAUCGUGGCGCUUCAGGCGCCAAGGAAAGUCCGGACAGCGCAGGGCAACCCACCGGUUAAGCGCCGGCUUUCUGCAGUAAUGCAGGAACGAGAAAGUGCCACAGAAAAUAACUACCACACUUCGGUGUGGAAAAGGUGAAAAUGUGAGGUAAAAGCUCACGGUCUUCCGUGGUAACACGGAACACGGGUAAACCUUGGGUGCUGUAAUGCCAUGUAUAGGAUCGUUCGAGGGCGGCUCGCUCAAGCCCGUGCUUUACGGCAUGGCGCGGUCCAGGGUAGGCAGCAAGAUCACGGCAGUAAUGCCGGGGCCAGAUAAAUGAUGGUGUAGAAACAGAAUCCGGCUUAUGAGGUUUGUAGCUUU
rnacentral:RNase_P_RNA from 1 species